GUAGGUGGCAAGCGUUGUCCGGAAUUAUUGGGCGUAAAGCGCGCGCAGGCUGUCCUUUAAGUCUGAUGUGAAAGCCCACGGCUCAACCGUGGAGGGUCAUUGGAAACUGGGGGACUUGAGUACAGAAGAGGAAAGCGGAAUUCCAAGUGUAGCGGUGAAAUGCGUAGAGAUUUGGAGGAACACCAGUGGCGAAGGCGGCUUUCUGGUCUGUAACUGACGCUGAGGCGCGAAAGCGUGGGGAGCAAACAGGGAUUAGAUACCCUGGUAGUCCACGCCGUAAACGAUGAGUGCUAAGUGUUAGGGGGUUUCCCGCCCCUUAGUGCUGCAGCUAACGCAUUAAGCACUCCGCCUGGGGAGUACGGCCGCAAGGCUG
rnacentral:rRNA from 1 species